GGUCACGUAGUGUAGUGGUAAGCACUUCGGAUUUUGAUUCCUGGAAAUCUUCCGACAACCCCGGUUCGAACCCGGGCGAGACCU